ACGCCCACUGAUUAUAAAAAGACGCGUUAUUCUGAGGGAGAACCUGCUGACGGUUCCUCUUGCCCUCGAACUUUGCUCAUCCCCCUCUGCUCUUCUCAUCCUCUUCCCCUGUCUACUCCCCCCCCCCCCCCAAUCUUUUCUUCCCUCACUUCUUGAACUGGUCAGCAGUCCGGUGAACGUGAUUAUGAGAUAUGAGGGUGU